rnacentral:rRNA from 1 species
CCUACGGUGGGCAGCAGUGGGGAAUCUUUCACAAUGGGGGAAACCCUGAUGCAGCGACGCCGCGUGAGUGAAUAAAUAUUUCGGUACUUAAAGCUCUAUCAGCAGGGAAGAAAAUGACGGUACCUGUCUAAGAAGCCCCGGCUAACUACGUGCCAGCAGCCGCGGUAACACGUAGGGGGCAAGCGUUAUCCGGAUUUACUGGGUGUAAAGGGAGCGUAGACGGCAGCGCAAGUCUGGAGUGAAAUCCCAUGGCUUAACCAUGGAACUGCUUUGGAAACUGUGCAGCUAGAGUGCAGGAGAGGUAAGCGGAAUUCCUAGUGUAGCGGUGAAAUGCGUAGAUAUUAGGAGGAACACCAGUGGCGAAGGCGGCUUACUGGACUGUAACUGACGUUGAGGCUCGAAAGCGUGGGGAGCAAACAGGAUUAGAUACCCGUGUAGUC